GAUGAACGCUGGCGGCGUGCCUAAUACAUGCAAGUCGAGCGAACGGACGAGAAGCUUGCUUCUCUGAUGUUAGCGGCGGACGGGUGAGUAACACGUGGAUAACCUACCUAUAAGGCUGGGAUAACUUCGGGAAACCGGAGCUAAUACCGGACAAUAUUUUGAACCGCAUGGUUCAAAAGUGAAAGACGGUCUUGCUGUCACUUAUAGAUGGAUCCGCGCUGCAUUAGCUAGUUGGUAAGGUAACGGCUUACCAAGGCAACGAUGCAUAGCCGACCUGAGAGGGUGAUCGGCCACACUGGAACUGAGACACGGUCCAGACUCCUACGGGAGGCAGCAGUAGGGAAUCUUCCGCAAUGGGCGAAAGCCUGACGGAGCAACGCCGCGUGAGUGAUGAAGGUCUUCGGAUCGUAAAACUCUGUUAUUAGGGAAGAACAUAUGUGUAAGUAACUGUGCACAUCUUGACGGUACCUAAUCAGAAAGCCACGGCUAACUACGUG
rnacentral:rRNA from 1 species